CCGGGGCGUCCCCCGCGGGAGCCCGCAGCCACCCGGGACGCGCAUCCAGACGUGGCGCUUCGGACCGGGCACGCUGCGCCCGGGGGCUCGGCGGACCCCGCGUAGCCGCCGCUUCGGAGCUUGUGCGGCGCGGGCUGGCCAGCGGGGCGGCCAGGGCCCGGCCCGCCUCCCCAGCGCCCGCCCGGCUUCUCCCCCUGGCGGUGGGAGCCUCGGCGGCCGCUGGCGACACUAGGCGCACUGAAGCCCGAGCCGAGCCGAGCCCGAGCCGCCGCCGCCGCCGCCGCUGCUGCGCACCGCUCCCGGGCUCCCUCCCAGCGCGCCGGCCGGGGUGUGGGGGGCGGCGGGCCGGAGGGGCGAGGGCGGGCCAGGGGGCGCACACGGGGGUUGGCGCGGAAGACAGGACCCUCAGCCUCGAGGGGUGCCUGGUUCCACAUGCACUUUAACCUGCUUUAUUUAGGCUUUUGAAAGCAACCUAAAUAGCUAACAUUGACUAAAUAAGUGCAGUAUACCUGGUCUGUGUGACAUUUUGCAGGUAUUAAAAAGUGAACAUUCUGAACCCUUUUAGCAAUAUGGCAAAUACUUCUGAUGUGAUGUAUGCAUAUAAAUAUGAUCGAAAGCAAAUAUCCCAAAAGGUUGAUGGCAGUUAUGUCAGGUUAGUAGCACAAUAGUUUCUUUUCUCAUUUUCUCACAUUUUUAGUAAUGUGUGUUGCCUAUAUUAAAAAACAAAUAUUAAAAAGUAGUAGCAUGUAUUAGAUCAGAGCAUGGGCUCAGACUGCCUGUGUCAUCUCUUAUUAGAUGUAUGACCAGGGACAAGUUAUUGACCUUUUGUUUCUAAGUCUCUAAGUUUAUCCUGUAAAAUGAAGAUAAUUGUAGUAACUACCUAAUAACAUGAUUGUAAGGAUUAAAUUAUUUAGAACACUAUUUGUUACUUGGAAAAUAUGCAAUCAUAAGCUAUUUUGUUGUUAUUGUUAUUUUACUACCAAAGCUUAUUGUUUCAGAGCCCCUAGGUGACCAGGCAAAAUGGCAGUUCCUUCCAGCUGGUCCUCAGAUGGGCACAUCUAUUAGCCUCUGCUCUUGUAAGAAGUUAGCUGCAGAACCCACAUGUGAAUCCUUGUAGGCUUUCAGGACUCUGGAGAAGAUCAAAUGGGAGCUUAGAUGUGGAAGCUCUUUGGAAACCAAGAAACACUCUGAAAAUGAAAAGGGAUAAGAAUGUUUAUCACAGCAUGGCAUAUAUUGGAAGUUUAGUAAAUGAAGAUACAUCCAAUCUGACAUUCUAUUCACAACCACAAAGAGAUAAUGUAGAAACAUAUUUAGUAAUGUGAGAAAAUACUAAAUAUUAAGUGAAAAAGGUAUUUCUCAAGAGUGUCAUGAAAGACAAUGAUAAACGAGGAAUUGUCUCAGAUUGGAGGAGACUAAGGUGAUGAAGAAUUAAAUACAAUGUGGAAUUCUGGAUUGGACCCAGGAACAGAAAAAAGGCAUUAGUGGAAAACUGGCAAAAUCUGAAUAAAGUCUGUGGAAGAGUAAACUGUUCCUGUUUCUCCAUCUUGACAGGAAGCAGAAGUUCUCCUUAGCUGAUUUUUCUUCUUGCCUUAUACUGGGUUCUUUAACACCAGAACAAAAAUAAAUAAAUAAAAGAAUCUUCCAGAAAUUCAUGAAGAGACUUCAGGUCAGGAAAGCCUGAACUUUCUCAUCCAACACCCGUUCAAGUCGGAGGAUGCUGAUUAAUUCAUGAUGGAAAGGUAUCAAUUUCACAGCCCAGACCUCUACAUUCUUGAAAUGCUCUUCUCAUGGGAGACAUUAAAUAAGCUUUGAAUUAACUGUAGACCUCUGUGGAUUCUAUAACUCAAAGACCCAGGCUGACGGCUGGUGGAAUAGCUACCAUCUCAAACAUGGCGUGAUGCUGCAUCAGAGAGAAAAAUAAGCUCUUGCAUUGACAAUGAAAUGUCUACCCUGUAGUGACUUGUGCUUACUUCCACUCACAAGUGAUUGCCCAGAGCUACUUACCUGGCUCCAAUCUACCACUGGGUGUGUACUUGCAAUCUACCAUGUACCUAGAAGAUGAGAGAAACAAAUUAUUAAUGAUGACCACACCCCAAUACUAACAACAAUUGCAGAAGAAUCAAUGACUUAAACAAAAAUGUGGCCAUUGAAGGAAUAGAAAAUAUAGUGAGUUUAGUGUAAAUUUAAAAGUGAUUUAUAAGUAACAUACAAAA
rnacentral:lncRNA from 1 species